rfam:Candidatus Buchananbacteria bacterium RIFCSPHIGHO2_01_FTLL_39_14 rifcsphigho2_01_scaffold_2874, whole genome shotgun sequence.
CGGGCUGUGGCGCAGUUGGUAGCGCGCGUGCAUGGGGUGCAUGAGGCCGGGAGUUCGAGUCUCCCCAGCCCGA